GACGAACGCUGGCGGCGUGCCUAAUACAUGCAAGUAGAACGCUGAAGAGAAGAGCUUGCUCUUCUUGGAUGAGUUGCGAACGGGUGAGUAACGCGUAGGUAACCUGCCUUGUAGCGGGGGAUAACUAUUGGAAACGAUAGCUAAUACCGCAUAACAAUGGAUGACACAUGUCAUUUAUUUGAAAGGGGCAAUUGCUCCACUACAAGAUGGACCUGCGUUGUAUUAGCUAGUAGGUGAGGUAACGGCUCACCUAGGCGACGAUACAUAGCCGACCUGAGAGGGUGAUCGGCCACACUGGGACUGAGACACGGCCCAGACUCCUACGGGAGGCAGCAGUAGGGAAUCUUCGGCAAUGGGGGCAACCCUGACCGAGCAACGCCGCGUGAGUGAAGAAGGUUUUCGGAUCGUAAAGCUCUGUUGUAAGUCAAGAACGAGUGUGAGAGUGGAAAGUUCACACUGUGACGGUAGCUUACCAGAAAGGGACGGCUAACUACGUGCCAGCAGCCGCGGUAAUACGUAGGUCCCGAGCGUUGUCCGGAUUUAUUGGGCGUAAAGCGAGCGCAGGCGGUUUGAUAAGUCUGAAGUUAAAGGCUGUGGCUCAACCAUAGUUCGCUUUGGAAACUGUCAAACUUGAGUGCAGAAGGGGAGAGUGGAAUUCCAUGUGUAGCGGUGAAAUGCGUAGAUAUAUGGAGGAACACCGGUGGCGAAAGCGGCUCUCUGGUCUGUAACUGACGCUGAGGCUCGAAAGCGUGGGGAGCGAACAGGAUUAGAUACCCUGGUAGUCCACGCCGUAAACGAUGAGUGCUAGGUGUUGGAUCCUUUCCGGGAUUCAGUGCCGCAGCUAACGCAUUAAGCACUCCGCCUGGGGAGUACGACCGCAAGGUUGAAACUCAAAGGAAUUGACGGGGGCCCGCACAAGCGGUGGAGCAUGUGGUUUAAUUCGAAGCAACGCGAAGAGCCUUACCAGGUCUUGACAUCCCGAUGCUAUUUCUAGAGAUAGAAAGUUACUUCGGUACAUCGGUGACAGGUGGUGCAUGGUUGUCGUCAGCUCGUGUCGUGAGAUGUUGGGUUAAGUCCCGCAACGAGCGCAACCCCUAUUGUUAGUUGCCAUCAUUCAGUUGGGCACUCUAGCGAGACUGCCGGUAAUAAACCGGAGGAAGGUGGGGAUGACGUCAAAUCAUCAUGCCCCUUAUGACCUGGGCUACACACGUGCUACAAUGGUUGGUACAACGAGUUGCGAGUCGGUGACGGCAAGCUAAUCUCUUAAAGCCAAUCUCAGUUCGGAUUGUAGGCUGCAACUCGCCUACAUGAAGUCGGAAUCGCUAGUAAUCGCGGAUCAGCACGCCGCGGUGAAUACGUUCCCGGGCCU
rnacentral:rRNA from 1 species